UGAGAUUGAUUUUAGGUUCUUA
rnacentral:siRNA from 1 species